CGGAGCCGGACUCGGCGGGGACCGGCCGGGCUCAGCAGUGGGCGGGGCUGCGGGUAUUUCGGUCUGAGGGCCCGCUGCUUUCAGCCCUGCGCCGGGCGGGCCCCCGAUCGAGCCGUUCCGACCCCCGCCAGGGCCGCGCUGCCAGCGCCGGGGGCUGCGGCCGGGGGCCGCGCUGGGCCGGUUGUGCUGGCUGCUCCCGAGCCGCGCGGUCCCGUCCUGAUACGCUCUGGCGCUUUCCCCCGUUUUCUUGUAGCUACGAUAGCCGGGCCGGCAGGGAGACUCUCCGUGCCGAAGGAGAGGUCUGCAGGAGGAAGUUGUUAGAAAACAGGCUUCAUAAUGGAAACUGUGUUGCAAUUUCAACCUUGCUAUAAUUGCUGCCACCCAGGAUAACUGGAAAAGUAAUGACACCGUUCAAAAGUUGCCUAAGUAUUUCCACUCUGAUUUCGACUGGCCUUUGGGGGUGCUGAAGAAAAAAAUAAUGUUGUUCAACAUAGCGUAAGCUGUUCAGAAGAAAAGUGGAGAAUUUGAUGUAAGUUUUAUAUUUCUGCUUCUGCAUCAUGAUCUAUGAGAUUAGAAGUGUACAUGUUUAUAUUUUGAGACUCGUGAUGAAAGAAUAUUGAUUAUUGCAUUGGAGCCAAGUGCUGUCUUGCCCUGGCUAAGGGUGUCUUAUCAACGGAUCAUGUCCUGAUUUUGCCAGUUGCAGGUAGGGUUAUAGCACAGCAGUGUAAGAAUACAACCUCAACUGCUUUGAAAGGGGACAGGUCACAUUUAAACCUAAGCAUAGGCAAACUCCCCUCUUCUCUUUUUUUCCUCCUUGGCAUCCCACAUGGUAGAUAAAAAUUCCGUGAGCAGUAGAUGGGGAACAGGACAAAAGUAAAACCCCUGUGACCACUUAAAUGGCCACUUGAACAUGCUAAUUUUUCCUGUUACAGCAAGUGCACAGAGCUGAGUUUGUUGAAGGACAAUGACAAUAGACAAGAACAUUUAUUGUCUUCAACUGAUAAAGACCAGAGGAGCUUCAUAUAAUUCAGGAGGCUUUCCUCUCUAUUUGGGGUACUGAGAUAUACAGCACAUACUUUUAAGCUUUUCUGCCUGACCAAAUCUUUGGUCAGUGUUCACAAACAUGGAUAGUCAGUGACCAGUUUCUGCUGAACUGAUUAUGGAAGGGUGCAUUGUGGUGGUUUUCUGCUUGGCGGAUCUGUGACAGUGUCAGAGCGGCCUCAACCUACCACAAAGAGUAUAAAGGAGAAGGACAGUCAUGAAAACUUUUCCAGAACUUUUUGUUUUCAGUUAUUCUUCCAGCUCCUACAAGGCAGACCUGCCUCAUAAGUUUAAGUCUGUAGAGACAGUUGAUCAUCUGUCUCACAUGAUGACAAACAGUACUGAGGGGUGUGCAAACCUCCAUGAUGGAUUUAUUGCCUUAUCUAGAAGAAUAGUAUGCUUUGUGUCUUUUUCUUAUUGUGUCCUCCAUCUCCAGGUGAUUCCUGUACCACUCACUGUUGUGCUACUGAAGACAUUAGAGUCCUCUAUUGUACAAGUGCAAAAACAACAGAUCGAAUUACUAGAAAUCCCAGAGCACUCCGAUAUCACGCAAGUGAGACAUAGACUUCAUUCAAGAGGCAAUGAGACCUAUUCUUCAGUGGAUAUCCAGUUUGCUGCAACUGUUUGAACUCGUCCCCACCUGCACCAGGGGUUCUGGUGUCCCAGCUCUGAGGCCUGGUCUACACUACAGAGUUUGUUUGCAAGGCAGCUUACGUUGACCUAAUUCUGUAAGCGUCUACACUAAAAUGUUGCUCCUGCCGAUGUAACUCGCCCUCUCCACCGACUUAGUAACUCCACCUCCACGAGAGGCGUGGUGCUUAGGUCAACAUAGUUUGGUUGACACAAUAUCAGUGACACUGCAUUACUUAUGUCUACUUUAGUGGCUUCCAGGAGGUGUCCCACGAUGCCCCAGCAUAACUGCUCUGGUCACCUAUUAGAACUCCGCUGCCUGGCAGUCAGGUAUGCAUGUACAUGUCCCUCCCCCUUUAAAGCCCCGCCAAUUUUAAAUUCUAUUUCAUGUUUGGUUGGUAUAGAGAGCUCACAUAGCAACUGCCCAGCUGACCAUGCUGGCGCCACGCAGCAAAGGUGCUCUUGCCAGGAGUACACAGCAGCUGGUGGAUCUCCAGGGUCUGUGGGGAGAAGAGGCUGUGCAGGCACAGGUCUGAUCCAUCUGUAGAAACGUUGACAUCUAUGGCCAGAUCGCUGGGGGCAUGGCGGAGAAGGGCUACAACCGGCACAUGCAGCAGUGCCGUGUAAAAAUCAAGGAGUUGCUGCAGGUGUACCAGAAGGUAAGGGAGGCAAACUGUCACUCUGGUGUGGAACUGCAGACAGGCUGGUUCUACACGGAGCUGCAAGCCUUCCUUGGGGGAAACCACCACCACGAGCCCCGUGGAUAUUUCAGGGGAGCUGGAAGCAGCGGCCCCUGCAGUGCACACUGAGGAGGAGGUGAUGCACGAGGAGGAGUAGUUUUGGAGGACAGGCGACUGGGGGAAUGCUGUGGUGCAGUGAGCCAGGACCUCUUUCUGAACGCCGGAGAGUCCCUACUAUCCAGCACCAGCGAGCCUGAUGCAAGGGAUGGAACCUCUACUGGAAAUGUGGCCUUGAGGUUCUCUCCAUCCACACCACUGGCGUGGCUCAGAUGAUGAGAAGAAAGGGGAUGAGGGACAUGUUCCACGAGAUCCUGCAAGCCUCUGGUGUUGCACAUACCGAGCAGAGGGCUUGGAGGAGCACCCUUGUGGACAGAAUGGAAAGGGAUAGUGCAGAGAGGAGGAAAAGGACAGACACAUGCAGCAAGUCAUGUUAGCGCUUCUCAAGCGCCAGAUGGACAUGCUGGAGAUUCUUAUAGACCUGUAAGUCCAAGUAAUCCUUGCUUGCCUCCCGCUGCAGUCUAUCAAUAACUGCAUUCUGGGACCUCCCUAUGCUCCCUGACCCUACAUUCCACAUAUGUUUCAUGGCCACUGCAUUACCCCUACCACUCCACCCCGAGGGAGAGUACACACAAUCAGAGCUGCACGUACACUGACCUAUGAGAGAGACGGUUGGUGUAUUUGUGUUUGAAAUGAGAAUGACUGUUCUUUCCCCGUCAAAGGUUCUUUUCCCUGUAUUUAUAUAGUUUCAUUCAGUUACAGUUAUUUUUGUUUGCAUGAGUUUGGAAUAAAAGUCUAUUUAUGGAAA